GUGAGCUAUGGAGAUGGUUCAACUUCCAGAGGCUUCCUCAUAAAUUUUUGGAAUUUUUGAGACACAGAUAAACUUCAGGUGAUCGAGGUCAGCUAUUUUUCUGCAUCCAGCAGCCACAAUAGUCAUCGGUGUACUGCCACAGGAGGAGUUAUUUUACAGAGCAACCUGGUUUCUUCCUCGCAGGUUUAACGUCAAUUAUUUAAUUGUUUUACUAUCUUUUCUAAAUUAAAAAUCUAGAACUCCGCAUGUGUUAGAAAUAGUGUGGACCUUGGUAGAGGUUGUGUGAACUUAAAUUUCUAAGAUUAAUAAAUGAAGAUUUGUAUGGUAUUUAAACAGUUUGUAAAUGAGGUAACAGGGUUGAGCUGGGCUCCCCUGAUUUUAGUUUCUGAAAAUUUCUGGGCUAAGUUGGCCCGAAAUGAAAUUAUAACAGUUUGAUUUAAAUUAUUUUAUAUGCAUAUUGGGCCUAAAUUGUGGGCCUGGUUAUGGAUUUGAGGAAUAGUUAGGCUUACUACGGGCCUCGGGGGCUUUAAGCUGGCCCAGGUCCUAGUGCCGGUCCGGCCCAUAGGUUGGGUCGUGACAG